AGGAAUUUAUGACAACAUACAAGUCAAUUCAUAUAUAAAUUAAUUCAAUCGAAUACAACACCUUUUUUUUUCCUUUUGUAUCGAUCUCUCCACUUAAAGGGGAAAGGAAAGAAAAACAUAAAGACAACGGUCAUUACUUCCAAAACUUUUUGACCAACCUCAAUUAGGAAAUCAGUCAUCUAAACUAACAUAUGAAGACUCGCAUUUCUGACAUAGCUUUACAAGCCUAAUCAUAUUAAAAACUUCUACCCUGAGCACACACAAUCGAACUGUAGACAAUCAAAAGUGAAUCCAACCCAUGAAAUAAUUUGAUCUAAAUUCAACAGAAUACAAAACCUGAUCUUUUUCCUUUUGCAUCAGUCCCUCAAAAAUCAAGUCCUUAAAAGACACAGUCUGUCAUCCACUACGGCAAUACUUCAAAAGUUCAAAUUCAAACUUAAUCAGUAAACUAAACUAGCAUAUAUAAGGAAUCAAGUUUGCAGCAUAUCUUUAACAUAAAAAGAAUUCAACAAAUACUAUUUUGUUUUAUUUUUGGAUUUCUAAAUUCUCAAAAAGAAAAGGCCUGAUUUUUGAGGUAAUAUGUGGUAGAACAUUCUUGAACCAUGAACCCAGCUCCAAAAAAUAGCUUCAGAGUCUAAUUAACUAAGCAUUCAACAAACCCAGGGGUUUUUUUUCUUUUUUACAGGGGAAAAAACAUAAUGGAAUAACAAAGAAGAAGACUUAAUGACAAAACAAACCUAUAGAAAGUUCAUCAAAGUGAAACCCACUCAAGUAAACAUGGAAAUGCAUUAAAAAAACAAGAAGGAAGAAGGAAUCAAAAGCAGAAAGAAGAUUAAUACCAAUAAUAGAUUCUCAUAACUUCAAUGAUGCAUACAGAUAGAUAUACCAACCCAGAAACUCAUUCGUUUCGAUGUAAAUAUAGAGGGUAUAUUUACCUUUCCGUGUUUUGCAUAAUUAGAACAUGAAGAGGCUAAAAUGCCAGAUCCAUCAAUCAUAUAAAAAGGAUAGAGAUAGAGGGGGACAUUGUAAUAUUUGGUGAGAAUAG
rnacentral:lncRNA from 1 species